rnacentral:rRNA from 1 species
UAGAUACCCUGGUAGUCCGCACGGUAAACGAUGGAUGCCCGCUCUCGGCGCCUGGCGCCGGGGGCCAAGCGAAAGCGUUAAGCAUCCCACCUGGGGAGUACGCCGGCAACGGUGAAACUCAAAGGAAUUGACGGGGGCCCGCACAAGCGGAGGAACAUGUGGUUUAAUUCGAUGAUACGCGAGGAACCUUACCCGGGCUUGAAUUGCAGGAGAACGAUACAGAGAUGUUGAGGUCCUUCGGGACUCCUGC